rnacentral:rRNA from 1 species
AGAGUUUGAUCCUGGCUCAGAACGAACGCUGGUGGCGUGUUUUAUACAUGCAAGUCGAGCGAGGACAGUAGCUUGCUACUGAGCCUAGCGGCAAACGGGUGAGUAACGCGUAAGCAAUCUGCCCCAUAGUUGGGAAUAACUGUUCUAAAGGACAGCUAAUGCUUGAUAUUGAGUAUAGUUGCAUAACUAUAUAUCUAAAGAUUUAUUGCUAUGGGAUGAGCUUGCGUCUGAUUAGCUAGUUGGUAGGGUAACUGCCUACCAAGGCGACGAUCAGUAGCCGGCCUGAGAGGGUGAUCGGCCACAUUGGGACUGAGAUACGGCCCAGACUCCUACGGGAGGCAGCAGUAGGGAAUAUUGCACAAUGGGGGAAACCCUGAUGCAGCAACGCCACGUGUGGGAAGACGCAUUUAGGUGUGUAAACCACUGUCGAUAGGGAAUAAUGAUGAUUUUCGGAUCACUUGAAUGUACCUAUAAAGGAAGCACCGGCAAACUUCGUGCCAGCAGCCGCGGUAAUACGAGGGGUGCAAGCGUUGUUCGGAAUUACUGGGCGUAAAGGGAACGUAGGCGGAUAAUCAAGUUGGCUGUUUAAUCCCGAGGCCCAACCUCGGACUUGCAGUCAAAACUGAUUGUCUUGAAUUAUUCAGAGGCAGAUGGAAUUUCAGGUGUAGCGGUGGAAUGCGUAGAUAUCUGGAAGAACACCAAUGGCGAAGGCAGUCUGCUGGGGAUACAUUGACGCUGAGGUUCGAAAGCGUGGGUAGCGAACAGGAUUAGAUACCCUGGUAGUCCACGCUGUAAACG